CAUUCGAACUGGAAGCAUCGCACACACACCAGCGCAGAAACCCCAACCAAAUCAACUUCCGUUCCGUUUGGUUUGCUGUGCGCUGACUUCGUUCAAGCAAGCAAAGCAAGAAGCAAACCAUCUCCGCGCGACUGGCCGAUGGAUUCAAAAGUGUUUCGUGCGCGUGAGUGCGGUUGUGUUGGUGCUGCAUAUCGAACCACCACCCGCCCCAUCUCGCUCGCUCCAACGGACAAUCCCGUGCGAGUGCACCAACACCCGGAACCAAACGGGACCCCGACGGUCGGUUGCUGCGGUGGUGUGCGUGCAAUGAUAUGGCAACGAACGGGAAACCGAACGAUGAUGAUUCGGGUCGUCGUCGUCGCCGUCGGUCGUGGUGACCGUUUUCUGGCCGUGUGCGCGCGUUCAGUCAGUUUCAGGAACGCGAUGAGUAGACAUCGAUGUAACGCGUUGUCGUCGUUGUUUCCAAUCUGAAGAAGAAAACCAUCAUCAGCAAGCAGCCAGCCAGCUAGCAAGCAGAUUUUCCUACCUUGGUGUGGAGCAAAUCCGCGCGAUACAGCGAGAGAGAGUGAACGAGAAAGUGCGCUCUUCUCGAGUCUAGUAACACUGAGCCAAAACGAGAAGGAAGAGAGGCACUUUGUGAGGAGUUGUGUGAAGGCGAGUGGAAAAAAAAGUACAGAAAGAAGUUAGGAAGUUGAAGAGUGUCUCUCCGUUUGGAAUGGAAAAAGUGUGGAAAAGUGCUGAAAUUCAAGUUUGAAAAUCCGAGGAAAAAAGUGUAAUUAUCAAGGAAUUUGUGGUUUCCGGUCAAUAUUUUGUGUGGGGUUAUCAGCGAGAUAACCCGAAGUUAUCCUGAGAGUCGGAGCCCCAAAUUGGAUUAAAAAUUUAAUUCCGGUUCGCGAAUUUCGGAAAUUCCGUGGAUGAAAAAGUUUUGACGAGUGAAAGAGAAGAAUUGAGUGACAGUUGGACCUCGUCUGGUCGCCUUGCUGAUCGGCGUUCGAUCGCGGCGGUGCCCAUCAGGGAAGAAGAAGAAUGUUUUCCUGGUCGACGAGUGUCGACACCCGAGUAAAAAUGGCGAUCAGAUCGAAGAACAAAGAUUGCAUAAUAUAAAUUGUUACGAAUCAGAAUUGUUAAGUGUGUUAAAUCUGCUACCGGAAAUUUGAAGGGUAAAAUUACGAUAAAUCCUAUACGGAAAAGUGUGUGAGAAUUUGAUAACAAAGGAGUAAAAGGUAAUUUACGCACGGCGAGAAAAAAAAUCAGUGAAAAAUAUCAUCUUCAUUGUCCAAAUUUUGAGAGUUUGUUAAGUUUCAAUCCGAGCGUUCUUCGUGUUCGUCGAGGUUUUUGUAUAAAAAAAAUAGCUCUUGUAAAUAGUUUCCCCCAUUUCGGUGAAUUUGAGGAGCCGUUCAAGUGAGACUGAAAGCGGAAGAAGGAGCCCAGCCUCGCCCAUCCUGUGGACGGAUCCAGUAUUUCCGCUAGGAAGAGAAGAGCGUGAACCCAAUCCGGACCAGUUCCUGCCCCCAAUCCGACGAGGGGAUGGAAUCCGGAGCUAAGGUCUGUGUUCCGUGGCGUGAUCGGGUUCCCAGGGGAGAAAGUGUCCGUUUCGUGUGAACCUGUGUCUGUUUUCACUGGGGAGGGAAGUUGGGAGCUUUCCUCGAAAUAGAAAGAGGGAAGGGGCAGUGCAGCAGCCAGAAUGUGCUGAGAAAGUCUGGAUUCUCGGCGAAAUCCGGAAUACGCGAUUAAUUUUCCCGGCUGAUAGAGAUCGUUCCGCCUCGGAACUUCUCUUCAGCUUCGUUUGUCCCACGAAUAGAGUGCUUUUUCGCCAGUGUGUUCUUGUCAUAUUUGGUGCAGCAGAGUGUGCAAUAAUUGUCUACGUCUAUCCGGGGGCCAUCCAGACGAAUUCCGGCGUCCGAUCGUUCGUCGUCCGGAGAAGUAUGAUGUAACAGUAUCCAGCCAACCGAAUCGCCGUGUUUGGCCGUGUUGUUCCCCUAGGUUUAUCUCGCAGUCGUGUCCGCAGAUCCUGAUCAGGGUCCUUCCCCUGGUCAGACUACGCGGUUCCGCGGUCUCGUGCGUCGUGAUUGAAGCCAAAUCGUGUCCCAAGUGAAAAUUCGGUGAAUCGCGGCGCUGUUCCCGGGUAAGUGUGUCCCUCCCUUAGUCGGCCCCCGACCAGAGUUCAGU